CUCCUUUUUAAAGAUUUUGGUGGUCCUUAAAAGGACCGUUAAUUUUGUCUGUAUCUUUUUCAGCAGUAGAUGAAUGCAGCUAUAUCUUCCUUGAUUUUGGAACUUUUGAAGAACAGCUUCUGGUUGGUUAACUUGUUUGGACCCAAGUACAUGGAUCUCCUAUGAGCCACCAACAGUUUGAGUGUCCACCACCACACACGUAUGAACUAGUGGGACAUUUAGAGCAGUCACAAGUAUAACAACGCACAGUAGCAUUAAGCAUUCAGGCAAAUCCAGGAUUUCCCUCGACAUUUGUUAAACUGUAGGAGGUGCCGUCUUGACUGGUUUUAGCUACAACAGUAGAUGAAUGCAGCUAUAUCUUCCUUGAUUUUGGAACUUUUGAAGAACAGCUUCUGGUUGGUUAACUUGUUUGGACCCAAGUACAUGGAUCUCCUAUGAGCCACCAACAGUUUGAGUGUCCACCACCACACACGUAUGAACUAGUGGGACAUUUAGAGCAGUCACAAGUAUAACAACGCACAGUAGCAUUAAGCAUUCAGGCAAAUCCAGGAUUUCCCUCGACAUUUGUUAAACUGUAGGAGGUGCCGUCUUGACUGGUUUUAGCUACAAGUGAGAACUUCUCUGCAUCUAGCCUUUUCCAUUGUAUAUAAAAUGAACUUAGCUGACUGUUUGAAGACUAAGUCUCAUGAUUUAUACCCUUGUUAUGGGGUAUGCUUCUUUGCAUAUGUAAUUCUUAUAAGAUUUUUUUUUUUAAUUAAAAAAAUAAUUAUUAUUAAUUUUUUUUCAGCAGAAUUUCUUUUUUAACUAGAUUUCCAUAUCAAAAAUGAAUUUAUCUACCAUGUGCAAUUUACAGAAUGUAAAUAUCUUUUAAAAUAAAAAAGUUUUGCUGAU